rnacentral:rRNA from 1 species
UACGGGGGGGGGCAAGCGUUGUUCGGAAUUACUGGGCGUAAAGGGCUCGUAGGCGGCCAACUAAGUCGGAUGUGAAAUCCCCAAGCUUAACUUGGGAACUGCAUCCGAUACUGGAUGGCUUGAAUCCGGGAGAGGGAUGCAGAAUUCCAGGUGUAGCGGUGAAAUGCGUAGAUAUCAGGAGGAACACCGAUUGCGAAGGCAGCUCGCUGGGACGUCACUGACGCUGAGACGCGAAAGCGUGGGGAGCAAACAGG